CAGCACCUCAAGUGGUCAGGAUGAUUAUUGGGCCUAAAGCAUCCGUAGCCUGUUCUGUAAGUUUCCGGUUAAAUCCAUUAGCUCAACUAAUGGGCUGCCGAAAAUACUGCAAAACUAGGGAGUGGGAGAGGUAGACGGUACUCGGUAGGAAGGGGUAAAAUCCUUUGAUCUAUUGAUGACCACCUGUGGCGAAGGCGGUCUACCAGAACACGUUCGACGGUGAGGGAUGAAAGCUGGGGGAGCAAACCGGAUUAGAUACCCGCGUAGUCC
rnacentral:rRNA from 1 species